UACGAAGGGGGCGAGCGUUGUUCGGAUUUACUGGGCGUAAAGGGCGCGUAGGCGGGUCGGUAAGUCAGGGGUGAAAUCCCACGGCCCAACCGUGGAAGUGCCUCUGAUACUGCCGGCCUCGAGGGGGAUAGGGGCGUGCGGAACUCAGGGUGGAGCGGUGAAAUGCGUAGAUAUCCUGAGGAACACCGGUGGCGAAAGCGGCGCGCUGGAUCCCUUCUGACGCUGAGGCGCGAAAGCCAGGGGAGCAAACGGG
rnacentral:rRNA from 1 species